rnacentral:rRNA from 1 species
GACGAACCGUCCAAACGUUAUUCGGAAUCACUGGGCUUAAAGGGUGCGUAGGCGGCGCGGAAAGUUGGGUGUGAAAUCCCUCGGCUUAACCGAGGAACUGCCCUCCAAACUGCUUGGCUUGAGUCCGGGAGAGGUGAGUGGAAUUCCCAGUGUAGCGGUGAAAUGCGUAGAUAUUGGGAGGAACACCAGUGGCGAAGGCGGCUCACUGGACCGGAACUGACGCUGAGGCGCGAAAGCGUGGGGAGCAAACGGG